ACCUGUCUGAGGGGCAUGGAGGGAAGGCGGGUUUUAUUUUAAAAUCACAGCCAGCCUAACCGGGUCAUUCACAUUGGCCUCACUGGGACUCUCAUCCCGGAUCCCAUAGUAUACACCCUGAGCAGUGGAAGGGACAGCCCAGAAAAAAAGGAAAGAAUGAUAAGUAUUCAUGAGCAACUGUUGCAGGCAUCUUGCCAAGUUGCCCUACACAGGCAGCGAGACGAAGAGACUUGUGAACAAAGCAGCGGUGACGUCUGCACUAAGACCCAGAAACACGAUACAUUUGAGCGACUGGCAUUGGCAGUUAUCAUCUGGGAUGUAAUGGUGGGUCGCAGAGGCAGCAGCUGCUGUGGAACUGACGCGUUUGACGGACUAUACCCGAAACCACUAUGCCGGUGAGGAGAUAACUCCCUCUUCUCACAACUCUCCCUGCUGCUGUCUCCAAGGUAACAGUCA